UGGUGGCCGCCGGGGGAACGGCGGGUCCCCGGGCCCGGGCGGUGUGUGAGGGGAAGGCCCCGGUGCUGGGAUGGCUUCCCGCGCUUUUAAUUAAUAAAUAGACUGAGCCGCUCUUAAAGAAGGUAUUAAGCCAUUAGAGACCGUCCAAAGGAGGGCAGCGAAGAUGGUGGAGGGCCUCGAGGGGCAGCUGAGGGCACUUGCAAAAGAAAUCACAGUUUCCUCGGGGAGGGAGUCACCUGCAAAGUCUGAUGACAGAGAAACAGAAUAACAGCAUGAAGCUGAAAUGAAAGAUUUAGCACAAAGCAGCAGAAGCCAAGGCAGCCACUGCAAAGGCACUCAGGCUCUGCCCCAUCAAUCUGGAUCUGCAGGAGUGCUGGACUGUGUGUGAACUUCUAACAGCGUGUUAGAGAUGGACCUCACACACUUCUGACCACACUCCCAAGGCCAAGAGGAAUUCAGAUCCAACAGAACAGGAGAUUUAAAGAGCAAGACUUUCAUAUUUAGGAAUGCUGAGAGCUGCAAUAUCUGUUAUGAGGCAGAAGCUGGAGAUGAGCUGUGAUUCUGCAGAGUGAUUCACGGCAGAGCUGGAAUCAGGUAAAGCCCAGGGUGUCUGAGUGCAGUCC